rnacentral:rRNA from 1 species
GUACGGGAGGCAGCAGUCGCGAAAACUUUGCAAUACACGAAAGUGUGACAGGGUCAUCCCGAGUGCCGACCGCUGAGGUUGGCUUUUACCCAGUCUAGAAAGCUGGGGGAAUAAGGAGAGGGCAAGUCUGGUGUCAGCCGCCGCGGUAAUACCAGCUCUCCGAGUGGUGUGGACGUUUAUUGGGCCUAAAGCAUCCGUAGCUGGCUGAACAAGUCCCCUGUUAAACCCACCGAUUUAAUCGUUGGUCUGCGGGGGAUACUGCUCGGCUAGGGGACGAGAGAGGCAGACGGUAUUCCCGGGGUAGGGGUGAAAUCCUAUAAUCCCGAGAAGACCACCAGUGGCGAAGGCUGUCUGCUAGAACGCGCCCGACGGUGAGGGAUGAAAGCUGGGGGAGCGAACCGGAUUAGAUACCCCGGUAGC